rnacentral:rRNA from 1 species
UGGGGAAUUUUGGACAAUGGACGCAAGUCUGAUCCAGCCAUGCCGCGUGCGGGAAGAAGGCCUUCGGGUUGUAAACCGCUUUUGUCAGGGAAGAAACGAGUUUCUCUAAUACAGAGACUUAAUGACGGUACCUGAAGAAUAAGCACCGGCUAACUACGUGCCAGCAGCCGCGGUAAUACGUAGGGUGCAAGCGUUAAUCGGAAUUACUGGGCGUAAAGCGUGCGCAGGCGGUUAUGCAAGACAGAUGUGAAAUCCCCGGGCUCAACCUGGGACCUGCAUUUGUGACUGUAUAGCUGGAGUGCGGCAGAGGGGGAUGGAAUUCCGCGUGUAGCAGUGAAAUGCGUAGAUAUGCGGAGGAACACCGAUGGCGAAGGCAAUCCCCUGGGCCUGCACUGACGCUCAUGCACGAAAGCGUGGGGAGCAAACA